AUGAGCCGCUGGAUUUCCCAGUUAGGAGGCCGGGGCCACCGGAUCCGGUGACCCCGGUCUCCUCGCCGGCGGAUCCGGCGCCCAGA
rnacentral:miRNA from 10 species